rnacentral:rRNA from 1 species
GACGUGCAAAUCGAUCGUUGAACUUGGGUAUAGGGGCGAAAGACUAACUCCAGAUGGAGCUCAAGAAGCCUUCGGUGACUCCUGAUCCGUGGGUACGCGAUAUCUGGAAUAUUACAUGCGUCGUAACUAGUCCGCAGCGAACUUUUCCAUUUCGCUUGGGGAUAACGCCGACGCUACACCUGAACUCUCUGCACCGGACCAACGGAGCCUGCUCAUUUUGUUUUCGUAGUUUUGCGGGCGUCGCGCGCGUCAAGGCCCUCUGGGUGUGGACGUGCCUGACCACAAGGAAGGAUUGUGUCUGAAGGAAAGGUUGCGGGAUGUCUAGGACCUAUUUUGGUUUUCUAUUUCUUUGAAAUAGCAGUGGAUCUGCUUGCACAGGGGUGUGGCAGAUCGCCUAGUCCUAGGGAAGACUAGGUCCCUUGUUCCAUCAAUUUGGUGAUGGGUCGGGUGUGAAGACGUCCCAUGGGGGGUACACCGAGUGUACCUCCAAGUGUAGCUGGUGUAGUUGAAAUCAACUCCCUUGAGUCGAAGCCCGUAGGGUAGGACUGGUGUACAUUGCCACCGCAGAAAGGGCGGAUGCACGUCACCUAGGUGAUGCAUAUAUUUUGAUCGCCCACGACGUUCGCGUUGUGGCUACGAGAGGGGUAUGUGUGUGGACGACGGUGCAGAAAUCCGUCGGCUGUUGUUCAUGAGGGGGAGUUUUGGUGGGUAAAAGCCCCACACUACCCUGGCCCUUAACCUUAAAAGUAGCUCCGGCGGUACUGUCUGCGAGUGAAAUGAGGGGGUCGGGGUGUGCUGACCUCACGUCACUGUAAGGUGGCGUUCGGGAACCAUGAUGAAGGUACGCUGCACUGCCGGAACAUGGGAAACGUUACCGAAAGGUAGAGCGAUAGCGGUCUUCGGGCCGUAGGGCAUUUCUCCUCCUACUAUGCAUUCGCUUAUGUAAAAAAAAAAAAAAAAAAAAAAGGGGCGAAAGACUAAUCGAACCAUCUAGUAGCUGGUUCCCUCCGAAAUCUCCCUCAGGAUAGCAACAACUUAUUUACGAUAGUUUUAUGAGGUAAAGCGAAUGAUUAGAGGAUUCGGGGAAGAAACUUUCUCGACCUAUUCUCAAACUUUAAAUCUGUAAGACCUGUAGGUUUCUUAAUUGAACUUGCAGACUGUGAAUAUCAAGUUGUUAGUGGGCCAUACGGGGUAAACUCGUCUGGCGAUGCGGGAUGAACCGAACGCAAAGUUAAAGUGCCAAAAUGCUCGCUCACCCAGAUACCAUAAAAGGUGUUGGUUCAUUUAGACAGCAGGACGGUGGCCAUGGAAGUCGGAAUCCGCUAAGGAGUGUGUAACAACUCACCUGCCGAAUGAACUAGACCUGAAAAUGGAUGGCGCUAAAGCGGGCUGCUUAUACUUUGCCGUUAACGCGAUAUCAUUUUUAAUGUAAGUGUUAAUGAGUAGGAGGGCGUGAGGGUUGUGAAGAAGCUUGUGGCGUGAGCCUGAGUGAAACGGCCUUCAGUGCAGAUCUUGGUGGUAGUAGCAAAUAUUCAAAAGCGAACUUUGAAGACUGAAGUGGAGAAAGGUUCCGUGUGAUCAGUAAUUGGACACGGGUGAGUCGAUCCUAAGAGAUAGGAUAAUUCCGUUUGAAAGCUUGGUUGUUUGGGGCGUGGGGUUUUACCUCGUGUUUUGUAUGCAACCUCGUGAUCGAAAGGGAAUCAGGUUAAUAUUCCUGAACCGAGAAGUGGAUAAUAUGUGGUAACACAACCGACCCAGGAGACGUUAGCGUGGACCCAGGGGAGAGUUCUCUCUUCUUUUUAACAAGCAUGUCCUACCUUGGAAACGGAUUAUCCGGCGAUAAGGAGGAUCCCUUGGCAAAGCACUUUAUUUUUUGAAGUGUCCUGUGUGUUCAUGGUAGCCCUUGAAAAUCCUGGUUAGAGAUUUAUUCGCACCCUCGUUCGUACUCAUAACCGCAUCAGGUCUCCAAGGUGAGCAGCCUCUAGUUGAUAGAAGAAUGUAGAUAAGGGAAGUCGGCAACAUAGAUCCGUAACUUCGGGAUAAGGAUUAGCUCUGAGGGUUGGGUUUGAGGGUCUUUUUGGAGAACUUGUUGUGACCUACGUUAGACUGCGACUGGACCCUUCGGGGACCGGAUGCGGACCGACGGUCGGGAUGCUCUCGUUGUGCCAGAAAGAAAGGUGGAUGGCUUUCGGGCUGACUACUGUUUCCUUGAGCGUUGAACAACUGUCUCAGAACUGGAGCGGACAAGGGGAAUCCGACUGUUUAAUUAAAACAAAGCAUUGUGAUGGCCGGAGACGGUGUUGACACAAUGUGAUUUCUGCCCAGUGCUCUGAAUGUCAAAGUGAAGAAAUUCAACCAAGCGCGGGUAAACGGCGGGAGUAACUAUGACUCUCUUAAGGUAGCCAAAUGCCUCGUCAUCUAACUAGUGACGCGCAUGAAUGGAUUAAUGAGAUUCCCACUGUCCCUAUCUACUGUCUAGCGAACCCACAGCCAAGGGAACGGGCUUGGAAUAAUCAGCGGGGAAAGAAGACCCUGUUGAGCUUGACUCUAGUCUGAUGUUGUGAAAUGACUUGGGAGGUGUAGAAUAAGUGGGAGGCUUUUGCCGUCAGUGAAAUACCACUACUCUCAAUGUUGUUACACUUAUAUCAUGAUGUAAUAUCUGCGUUGCUUCGCGGCGGCCCAGUUAUAGUUGGAAGCUUGGACUUUUGUCUGGGUGAAUUACGUGAAAAACAUCAUCAGGCGGGGAGUUUGGCUGGGGCGGCACAUCUGUUAAAUGAUAACACAGGUGUCCUAAGGUGAGCUCAAUGAGAACAGAAAUCUCAUGUAGAACAAAAGGGUAAAAGCUCACUUGAUUUUGAUUUUCAGUAUGAAUACAAACCGUGAAAGCGUGGCCUAUCGAUCCUUUAGUACUUUCGAAUUUUAAGCUAGAGGUGUCAGAAAAGUUACCACAGGGAUAACUGGCUUGUGGCAGCCAAGCGUCCAUAGCGACGUUGCUUUUUGAUUCUUCGAUGUCGGCUCUUCCUAUCAUUGCGAAGUAGAACUCGCCAAUUGUUGGAUUGUUCAUCCACUAAUAGGAAACGUGAGCUGGGUUUAGACCGUCGUGAGACAGGUUAGUUUUACCCUACUGAUGAGUUCGUUGUCUAAACAGUAAUCCAACCCAGUACGAGAGGAACCGUUGGUUCAGAUAAUUGGUAACUGCGGUUAGCUGAAAAGCUAGUGCCGCCAAGCUACCAUCUGUCGGAUUAUGGCUGAACGCCUCUAAGUCAGAAUCCAUGCUGGAAUAGACGAUAAUCACCUUUCCUGAUGUAACGCGAAUAGCGAUAGGUGUCCUUUGGACACCCAACAUCAUACAAUUGCAACGAAACUCGCUAUCUGUCAAAUAUCGAUAGUGGGGAGUAGGCUGAUUUGUAAUUUCAAAUAUUGGGAAAGAUAAAUCC